rnacentral:rRNA from 1 species
AGUGAACGCUGGCGGUAGGCCUAACACAUGCAAGUCGAACGGCAGCACAGUAAGAGCUUGCUCUUACGGGUGGCGAGUGGCGGACGGGUGAGGAAUACAUCGGAAUCUACUUUUUCGUGGGGGAUAACGUAGGGAAACUUACGCUAAUACCGCAUACGACCUACGGGUGAAAGCAGGGGAUCUUCGGACCUUGCGCGAUUGAAUGAGCCGAUGUCGGAUUAGCUAGUUGGCGGGGUAAAGGCCCACCAAGCCGACGAUCCGUAGCUGGUCUGAGAGGAUGAUCAGCCACACUGGAACUGAGACACGGUCCAGACUCCUACGGGAGGCAGCAGUGAGGAAUAUUAGACAAUGGGCGCAAGCCUGAUCCAGCCAUACCGCGUGGGUGAAGAAGGCCUUCGGGUUGUAAAGCCCUUUUGUUGGGAAAGAAAAGCAGCAGAUUAAUACCCCGCUGUUCUGACGGUACCCAAAGAAUAAGCACCGGCUAACUUCGUG